rnacentral:rRNA from 1 species
GGGCGUAAAGCGCACGUAGGCGGCGUAUCUAGUCAGAGGUGAAAGCCCGGGGCUCAACCCCGGAAUUGCCUUUGAUACUGGUAUGCUUGAGUUCGGAAGAGGGUAGUGGAAUUCCAAGUGUAGAGGUGAAAUUCGUAGAUAUUUGGAAGAACACCGGUGGCGAAGGCGGCUACCUGGUCCGAUACUGACGCUGAGGUGCGAAAGCGUGGGGAGCGAAC